UACGUAGGGGGCUAGCGUUGUCCGGAAUCAUUGGGCGUAAAGGGCGCGUAGGCGGAAUGGCAAGUCGGUCGUGAAAUCCUUCGGCUCAACCGAAGAACGUCGAUCGAAACUGCCGUUCUUGAGGAUUGCAGAGGAGACUGGAAUUCCCGGUGUAGCGGUGAAAUGUGUAGAGAUCGGGAGGAACACCGGUGGCGAAGGCGGGUCUCUGGGCAAUUCCUGACGCUGAGGCGCGAAAGCGUGGGGAGCAAACGGG
rnacentral:rRNA from 1 species